rnacentral:tRNA from 1 species
AACUAAGUAGCACAGUAAUGAAGAGUGCUGGACUUGGAAUCAGGAAGACCAGGUUCAAAUCCUGCUUUAGCUA